CAUGCUAGAAAGUUUUUUGAAAGAAGAACGUGCCUUUUGGAAUCUAGACACAGGUGGUGCAUGGCUGUCGUCAGCUCGUAUCGUGAGAUGUUAGGUUAAGUCCAUCAACGAGCGCAACCCUCGUUUUUAGUUAAUUUUACUCUAAAGAUACUGCCAAUUAUAAGUUGGAGGAAGGUGGGGACGACGUCAAGUCAUCAUGCCCUUUAUAUCCUGGGCUACACACGUGCUACAAUGGUUAAGACAAUGAGUUGCAAACCUGUGAAGGUAAGCUAAUCUCUUAAACUUAGCCUUAGUUCGGAUUGUAGGCUGCAACUCGCCUACAUGAAGCUGGAAUCGCUAGUAAUCGCCGGUCAGCUAUACGGCGGUGAAUCCGUUCCCGGGCCUUGUACACACCGCCCGUCACACCAUGGGAGCUGGUCAUGCCUAAUGCUGUUAUCUUAACCGAAAGGAAAGAAAUGUCUAAGGCCGGGUUAGUAACUGGGGUGAAGGCGUAACAAGGUA
rnacentral:rRNA from 1 species